rnacentral:misc_RNA from 1 species
UAACCUCCUCGAAGGGUGCUUUGGUUUUCAAAGCGCGCCCUCGGAUUUGGAUGUUGCGGGUGGUGCCCGCUCGUCUCGAAAUGCAUUAGCUUUGUGUCUCCCUCGGACGAGGACGGUGUGAUAGUAGGCAUGUUGUCAAUGUUGACGCCGUUUGAAACCGACGGGGCUCUCGGGGCUUAGAGCUGUUGUUGAGCUUUGAAC